UUUCUUCUUCUUCUUUGGCUCCGAUGUCGGUCAAGGCCUGCCUGUACCCACUUGUGGGCUUGGCUUUCAGUGACUAAUUGAUUCCCCCCCAUAGCAGGAUAGUCAGUCCCACGUAUGGCGGCGCGGUCUUUUUGGGGAUUGAACCCCUGACGAGCAUGUUGUUAAGUCGUACGAGUUGACGACUGUACUACGAGACCGGCAAGACGAGGUUUAAGGACGGUGCAGUAAGGAGUGUCCGAAACCGCUCACGGUCCUUAGCCUUCGCCAGUCUAUUACCUUGGCUUUAAUGGCUGACGCCUACAAGUCAUCUGGCCACUUCAAUUUAAACAUUUACAUUACAGUCACAACAGGACAUAUAGGACAUACAGGACAUUACAGUCAUGAGAUUAAAAAGAUUUUUACAUCAUCGGCGUAGAGGAAACACCUAUUUUGAGGGAGCACAUAUACACAAUCUUUAACAUUUAGUAUAAAAAGCAUAGGACUUAGCACGCUUCCUUGAGGUACGCCUGAGAGACCUAUUAAUAUUUCGGAGAAACUAUCGCAGACACGUACUUACGUACGUAUAUUGUUGAAAUAAUAAUGGACUUCACGCUUCACGGCACGACGCUAUUUCACGGGAUGUCUAGUUGCACGAUUAGGCGUAAAAUGUUUCAGCCAUGUUGUUUAUGGCUAUUUCUUACGGUUUACGGCGUUCAAUUGUCUUUAUCUGUCAGGUUGCACGGUUGCGCAACAAGGUCAAGUUCGAUAGAAUUUACCGCACUGGUCGCGAAGCGCUGACACGGCACUGUUCCAAGCCAGCUUCGCAACAACCAUAACUCUCUUCUUUUCCUCUUGGCUGGGGAAUUACCAUCGUUCAUCACAACGGUGCACAGUAGGAUAUACAGUUGACAUCCUCGUCGAGCGACACGUCAAUAAUGUGAUAGUGGAAGUGGAUAUCAUUACAUGCUUGCGCGGCUGAUCCUACUACGCUGACGGCGGGCAGUUAUAAAUCAGAGUUACAAAUGCUUGCGUUCCGAUCAAACGAAUAAUAAACAUGGCUAUCGCUUUAUCCAUAAAUACCUAGUGAGGUAAUACUACCAACUACACAGUGGUGAUAUAGAAGUGACCGAUAACUGGAUGUGUUUUACUGGAGUUUUUUUCAACCGGAUGUUCGCUAACUGGAUUCUCAAUUAAAAAACACAUAAAUUUCAAAAAAUUUAACUUUCGGAAUCUUACGAAGAAUAUUUCAUAACAAAUGCUUUUCUCACAAAUUUAACCUCUCAGUUAGCGAUAGUAACAAUAGUGGCGGUGUGGUGAUGGUAAUUAUUGUUGUAGGUUCGGUACGGGUUCGCGUCGUAGGCCUGAUGGCAGCGCUGUGUCAGCACUUCGCGAUUGGCGCGGUAAACUAAUCGAACUUGACCUUGCGUAACAAUUGAAAUCAAUCUGCGUCAGGUGAAAAGCGAACUUCCAGUUAAACCGUGGGAACGACGUUAUGCCACUUAGCAUACGUUAACCUUUCGGAUUGGGGUUUUGCUGACCGGCCAGCUGAUACACGGUGCGUUUGUUGGAGACAGUAAAGCCUUACCUUGGGUAGGGGGACAAUGCUGCUCAUAAGUGAGUUGAAGGGACAAGAUGUACGAUCCUAUGACCGAUCAGAACUGACCUUCUGUUCGUUCUGAUAGCUUUAUUUAUACUCCCAUCUUAAGAAAGCUAGCGCACAUUUGUUCACCAGAUGUUUACGCUCGUAACUUUCUCUUUCGCAACUUGAUGCGCUUUGACAAACGCAUGUUUGUCAAGAGGGUCGCCUUCCUGGUGGGCUUUUACAAUUUACAGUGUUUUGCUUAAGGUCUAAUGCGUUUCUUAUGCUAAUUGUUCUUCCUUAUUUAUGACCUACUUUGAAGGUCUUCCUUGUUUAUUUCCAGCUUGGGUGGUGCGACCACCAUGGUAAAACACGGAACCGCGUGUGCAGUAAAACACGGACCGCAUGUGCAGUGUUUUACCCGGCUGUUAGCAUUCAUGCUUUAAGCGGGUAUGCGAUAGCAUGGAUGCUACAACGGUAUUGCAUUCAAAUACGCUCCAUACGAUAAUUUAAGAGUAAUUAAUUUAUUUAUGUUAUUUUCAAAUCUUCUCUGGUCUUUUACAAAAGCUUUGUAACAAAAUGGUCGCCUUUAGCUUCAGUGACAGAAAAUCGAUUAAUUUGUUAAACUAGUUCAAAUGGCCCAGUUACAGGGCUAUGCAACGUUUAUUGGGACGUAUAGGGGAAAGCGGGGCAAAAUGGGCAUGUUAAGCAGUUUACUGAAUAUUCCUUUGAAUAUUCCACAAAACACAAUUUUUCUUUCAUUAAUGUAUGCCUCAACCAUUUAUCUAUGGAUUAAAAUUGCCACAUAGAAUAAAAACAACUUAAAAACAUGAAAAUAAUGUAAAAUAAAAGUUGAUGUUUAACGAGAAGCUAUUUUGACACGCGGGGUAUAAUGAGCAUAGCCCUGGGGCAAAAUGGGCAUAUGUAAACAAACUGUGAAACGUCAAAACACUGGGGCAAUUUGGGCCACAACAACUGCGCUUAGGUAAUGGUCUAUGCUUUUGCGCACGUUUCGUGAAAUGUAUUUUUCGUUCUAUCUUUUGAUUUGCUGGACAGAAAAGCCCAUAAAAUUCUUCCAAAAAUAUGUUAUCAAGAUUAAAACAGUUUUUAAACGUUUAAAUCUACAAAAUCGAAUCUUAUGAAGCUGUGUCUGUUAUCAUUUUGAGGCGACAAAUACAACACUAGGCAUGGGCAAAACGAUUCUUUUCACCGAACGCGAACGAACUAGUUCGCUCACCAAAAAGAACAGAACGCGAACGACGAUUCUUUCGUUCUUUGUUUCAUGAGGUUUUUAUUCACAAAGAACGCUCGUUAUCUUUUUCAUUUACCCACCAUAGACGCAUACUGUAGCCAAAGAAGUACUCAUUCUGCGGUUGAAACCAAUCAUUUAAAAACAUUAAACACUCGGCUGUCUGGUCAACACAAUCCUUCGCAAAACCGACCAAAAACUAGCAUGUAAAAAACUAAUACGAGCAAAAAUGUCUCCUACAUAUAUUGUACCCCAUGCCUUAUACACACUUAAGGAUUCUAUUUAAAAAAAAACUACUUAAAUACGGAUCAACAUGAUGAGCGCAAUCAAUUCAGUUCAGUUCAUUCGCGAACAAUGACUAAUCCGUUUGAACGGGCUCGAUCUAUUGAAUUGUAGAGGUAUAAUUUCCAUGCCAACAGAACACAGAUCGAACACCAGUUCGAACGCGUUCGAUGAAUUCAGUUGUGUAGGUACGAUUUAUACACCAACAGAACACAGAUCGAACACCAGUUCGAACGCGUUCGAUGAAUUCAGUUGUGUAGGUACGAUUUGCAUACCAACAGAACACAGAUCGAACACUAACGGAUCAGAUCGAACGCGUUCGAUGAAUUCAGUUGUGUAGGUACGAUUUACACACCAACAGAACACAGAUCGAACACCAGUUCGAACGCGUUCGAUGAAUUCAGUCGUAUAGAUACGAUUUCCACACCAACAGCACACGUAUCGAACACUGCUGGACAAAUUCGACGGCGUUCGAGGAAUUGAGUUGUAUGGGUACGAUUUCAACACAAACAGGGUACAUUUUGAUCUCUGACGACCCGUUCGCACGGUGCGAGAAAGAGCGAGAAAGCAAUAUGAUUUUGCACGUUUUAUUACCACAUUUAUGGGUGCCGUCGAACACUGAACGGAA